UAUACUGAGCGGGCACUAGGAGGACCUACGUUAAAAGUUCAAGUAUCUCGUUCUUAUAGGUUCUGAGAUCGACGAGGGCAUACAUACGGACAGACGGGCAGAUAGAAGGAAAUGGCUAGGUUGACUCGGCUAUUGAUGCUGAUCAAGGAGGUAUAAAACUAAAGCUGAUUUGGGGACAACUGUUUUGACAAGAGAAAGUGUAGUCCAUAAGGACAAAAUUAGUUUUCAUAUGCUUUUAUUAUGAGUUGCAUUAUCGAAUACAAAAUCGACAGACUACAUCCACUCAGAUUACAUCCCCUGACAGAAGCUGAACUGAUUAGGGAAAACAGAUAGAACAGAUCAAGAAACAUUGUAAACAAACUUUUGGAAGUCAAGAAAAACUUUUGGCAAGAAAUGUAAAAAAAAAUAAAUUAUAACUUGUCUAGUCAAA